rnacentral:tRNA from 1 species
GCGCGGUUAGCUCAGCUGGAUAGAGCGACGGUCUCCGGAACCGUAGGUCGUGGGUUCGAAUCCCGCACCGCGCACUA